GUUGGUGCAUCCGAGCUAUACAUUCUCUAGCAAUACUAUAGUUUAUGCCUUACACACCAGCUCCACGAUGAUGGUAGUAUGGCCAGGGAGUUAGUGUUGAUCACAUUUCUAUCAUUUCUUUUCUUCUCUUUAUUUCUAAGGUUUCUUUCAGUGCUAACCCAUUAUGGUCCCAUACUACCUUGACUAUCCUGGCUUCUCUCUGUUUAAUACAAACAUCCUCCUCAUAUACUCUACUCACCAGAGCCAUAGACAACCUUCCUGCUUUGAUAUCUUCUUUGUGCUCUCCUAUCCUUUUGGCAAGCCUUCUCUUGGUGCUACCUAUGUAGUAUUCUGUCUCCUCUCAGUCAUUGUUAUAUAUGGGAAUCUCAUAU
rnacentral:lncRNA from 1 species